UUAUACCGCGAAACUGCGAAUGGCUCAUUAUAUAAGUUAUCGUUUAUUUGAUAGCACAUUACUACAUGGAUAACUGUGGUAAUUCUAGAGCUAAUACAUGCUAAAAAUCCCGACUUCGGAAGGGAUGUAUUUAUUAGAUUAAAAGCCAACGCCCUUCGGGGCUUCCUGGUGAUUCAUAAUAACUUUUCGAAUCGCAUGGCCUUGCGCCGGCGAUGGUUCAUUCAAAUUUCUUCCCUAUCAACUUUCGAUGCGAAGGUAUUGUCUUCGCAUGGUUGCAACGGGUAACGGAGGGUUAGGGCUCGACCCCGGAGAAGGAGCCUGAGAAACGGCUACUACAUCCAAGGAAGGCAGCAGGCGCGCAAAUUACCCAAUCCCGACACGGGGAGGUAGUGACAAUAAAUACUGAUACAGGGCUCUUUUGGGUCUUGUAAUCGGAAUGAGUACAAUUUAAAUCCCUUAACGAGGAACAAUUGGAGGGCAAGUCUGGUGCCAGCAGCCGCGGUAAUUCCAGCUCCAAUAGCGUAUAUUAAAGUUGUUGUGGUUAAAAAGCUCGUAGUUGAACCUUGGGCCUGGCUGGCCGGUCCCCCUCACCGGGUGCACUGAUCCAGCCGGGCCUUUCCCUCUGUGGAACCCCAUGGCCUUCACUGGCUGUGGUGGGGAAACAGGACUUUUACUUUGAAAAAAUUAGAGUGCUCCAGGCAGGCCUAUGCUCGAAUACAUUAGCAUGGAAUAAUAGAAUAGGACGUGUGGUUCUAUUUUGUUGGUUUCUAGGACCGCCGUAAUGAUUAAUAGGGACAGUCGGGGGCAUCAGUAUUCAAUUGUCAGAGGUGAAA
rnacentral:rRNA from 1 species